GAUAUUAAAUUACCUGGAAUACCAAUAAAAAUUGCAAUGGAGGCCAUUCAACUAGCUUCAGUGGCAAAGAAAGAGAUAUUACAGAUUAUGAACAAAACCAUUUCAAAACCUCGAGCAUCUAGAAAAGAAAAUGGACCUGUUGUAGAAACUGUUCAGGUUCCAUUAUCAAAACGAGCAAAAUUUGUUGGACCAGGUGGAUAUCAUCUAAAAAAACUUCAGGCUGAAACAGGUGUAAGUAUUAGUCAGGUGGAUGAAGAAACAUUUUCUAUAUUUGCACCAACACCCAGUGCUAUGCAUGAAGCAAGAGACUUCAUUACUGAAAUCUGCAAAGAUGAUCAGGAGCAGCAAUUAGAAUUUGGAGCAGUAUACACCGCCACAAUAACUGAAAUCAGAGACAGUGGAGUAAUGUUGAAACUAUAUCCAAAUAUGACUGCGGUUCUACUUCAUAACACACAACUUGAUCAAGGGAAGAUUAAACAUCCCACUGCCCUGGGAUUAGAAGUUGGCCAAGAAAUUCAGGUGAAAUACUUCGGACGUGAUCCAGCAGAUGGAAGGAUGAGGCUUUCUCCUAAAGUGCUUCAGUCCCCAGCUACAACUGUUGUCAAAACUUUAAAUGAUAGAAGCAGUAUUGUAAUGGGAGAACCUAUUUCACAGACAUCAUCUAAUUCUCAGUGAUUUUUUUUUUAAGAGAAUUCUAGGGUGAUAAGUGGUAGAAAAAAAUUUUAGUAUUAUCUUCUGAUGUAUAGAUUUAUACAUAGUAUAAAUAUAUUCUAAUUAUUUGUA